UACGUAGGGUGCAAGCGUUAAUCGGAAUUACUGGGCGUAAAGCGUGCGCAGGCGGUUUUGUAAGUUUGUCGUGAAAUCCCCGGGCUCAACCUGGGAAUGGCGAUGAAGACUGCAAGGCUAGAAUCUGGCAGAGGGGGGGUAGAAUUCCACGUGUAGCAGUGAAAUGCGUAGAGAUGUGGAGGAACACCGAUGGCGCAAGGCAGCCCCCCUGGGGUCAAGAUUGACGCUCAUGCA
rnacentral:rRNA from 1 species